rnacentral:rRNA from 1 species
GAUGAACGCUGGCGGCGUGCCUAAUACAUGCAAGUCGAGCGAACGGACGAGAAGCUUGCUUCUCUGAUGUUAGCGGCGGACGGGUGAGUAACACGUGGAUAACCUACCUAUAAGACUGGGAUAACUUCGGGAAACCGGAGCUAAUACCGGAUAAUAUUUUGAACCGCAUGGUUCAAUAGUGAAAGACGGUCUUGCUGUCACUUCUCGCUGGAUCCGCGCUGCUUUAGCUGGUUGGUAAGGUAACGGCUUACCAAGGCAACGAUGCGUAGCCGACCUGAGAGGGUGAUCGGCCACCUUGGAACUGGGACACGGUCCAGACGCCUACGGGAGGCAGCAGUAGGGAACCGGCCGCAGUGGGCGAAAGCCUGACGGAGCAACGCCGCGUGAGUGAUGAAGGUCUUCGGAUCGUAAAACUCGGUUAUGAGGGAAGAACAUAUGUGGAAGGAACUGUGCACAGCUUGACGGUACCUAAUCAGAAAGCCACGGCUAACUACGUG